UUCAAGCCUGCCUUCUACCUCGUUUCUGUCUGGAUGGUUUGUUUGAAAAUACUUGUGCUAAGUUAUGUCUUAGAUUCUCCCCUAGUUGUCCUCAAUCUAAGUUACGUCUUAGAUUCUCGUGCGCUCGGCACGUAACUUUGGACUUUUGGACUCCAUUGCUAAGUUUUAGGUUAGCUUACCGUGCGUAGGCACGCACUUUCUUUUGCUUUUGUACCAGUGUUCUUUUACUUUUUGUAUACUAAAUUAAGUCUUACCUGCAAUUCCUGCCUGUCUUGGUCCUCGUGCAUCUGGGGGUGACACAACGCGCAUACAAAAUGCGUUUCCAACGAGACAGUUACCUCUAAACAAAAAAUAUUGAUGCUAAUCCACCCUUUUUUUUUUUUUUUUUUUUCAAAUAAGAGUCAAUAAGAAAACCGUGAAGGAACUGAAUCGUUAAGCAGAAUCGAAAGUGGAAUUGGAACCGAAAAAAUAUUAUCAAUUCCCAUCCCUACCACAGACUGAAGACACAAUGUACAUUUUUGUGCUGAUCCACACUACUCACAAAGACGGUUGCUCAGCGACUCAGGGAGUGAGAAGGCCCGUUUUGAUUCUGCCGGGCCGCCCUUCACGCUGUCACGGAGCGACCGCACGCUCCUCUGGCAGUUCCUGGCAAAGCGUGCCCGUCGUAUUUUCCACAUUGCUGCAUCGCUGAGGAAAUGAAGCAGCAGGAGUUUGCUGAGGAUGACAGGACGAUCCCUCACUACAGUGUCAAACUGGAAAUCCAGGCAGAGGCACAAACCCUGGAAAAGAUACAAAAGCGGCAGGCCUCUUGAUGGUGUCCAGCAACAGUCUAGCCCGGGUGGCCACAGCAGGAUUGACGUCCUCCACCGAUGCCAGGAAACAGCAGAAGGCGUGUGCCAGGGAGUACUUCAGAAGGUGGUUUUUAGUUACGGCACCGAUGUCCAGGAAGCGACAUAGCACUGCCACCUUCUCCACUGGGAGAUCACAAUGUUGUCAUGGACAUAAAUUUAACAAAGAAAAACGCUGACAGUUGCAAAUAAUCACAAUGUACUGCUAAUAUGGACGAUACUGUAUAAACCACUUCACCAAAAUGUGAAACAUUUUAAUGAAAAUGCAACAUUCAUUAUCAAUAAUCCACUUGGAUUUUAGUAUACAAGUGUUUAGUGACAGUGCUGUAAUUGCUGCAGUACAUAACAGUGACCACUGGGUGUCAGUAAAAGUUCAAACAUUUGCAUGGCCUGUUGGUCACAAGAUCAAUCCUAAACUUUGUUUUUGUUUGUUUUUUCUUUUUCAAAAAAGAAAAUGUAUGUCCUCAUAUAUUUAUAGUUGUUUUUUCAUGUAAGACUGAAGUACCAUAGACCCAGUAGCCUGACCACACGACACUAUUUGUUUCCAUGGUGACAAAGAUAAGGUCUGUUUUGGCCUAUUAAUCAAUUGACAUGUUUGUGAAUGUCACAAGGUCUU